AGAUGAGAGGAUGGUUUGGCUAUUGUAUCUGUCAUCCCAUUGAUCACCAAGAUUGAAUCAGCCAAUCUAACUGGAUGGGCAGGAUGUUAAUUUUCUCCCUUAUCAUUCCAUAUAUGACCCUCCCAGAGCUGUAUGUUCAAAGAAGAUUACUUCCUAAUAGAGGAGAAUAGUUUAUUCUGUGCUCAAAGAUACCGAAGUACUGCGGUCCCCCAUCAGAACUCUAAAGAAGUGCUCAGCAUAACAGAGAUGCUGACUUUCACCACUCCCAUUUAACACUGCCCUGGGACUUCCAGCCAGAGCAAUUAGGU
rnacentral:snRNA from 1 species